rnacentral:tRNA from 1 species
AGGGACUUAGGAUAGAACCCAGACCAAGGGCCUUCAAAGCCUUAAGCGGGAGUGAAAAUCUCCCAGCCCCUG